rnacentral:sRNA from 1 species
AUAGAGCGAGGACGCUAACAGGAACAAUGACUCAGGAUGAGGGUCAGGAACGCCAGGAGGCGAAGACAGAGGAUUGUCAGGAAGACAAACGUCCGGAGACGUAAUUAAACGGAAAUGGAAUCAACACGGAUUGUUCCGGCUAAUGGAAAAACAGGGUGUGUUGGCGGCCUGCAAGGAUUGUAAGACCCGUUAAGGGUUAUGAGUCAGGAAAAAAGGCGACAGAGUAAUCUGUCGCCUUUUUUCUUUGCUUGCUU